GAUGAACGCUGGCGGCGUGCCUAAUACAUGCAAGUCGAGCGAACAGACGAGGAGCUUGCUCCUCUGACGUUAGCGGCGGACGGGUGAGUAACACGUGGAUAACCUACCUAUAAGACUGGGAUAACUUCGGGAAACCGGAGCUAAUACCGGAUAAUAUAUUGAACCGCAUGGUUCAAUAGUGAAAGACGGUUUUGCUGUCACUUAUAGAUGGAUCCGCGCCGCAUUAGCUAGUUGGUAAGGUAACGGCUUACCAAGGCGACGAUGCGUAGCCGACCUGAGAGGGUGAUCGGCCACACUGGAACUGAGACACGGUCCAGACUCCUACGGGAGGCAGCAGUAGGGAAUCUUCCGCAAAGGGCGAAAGCUUGACGGAGCAACGCCGCGUGAGUGAUGAAGGUCUUCGGAUCGUAAAACUCUGUUAUUAGGGAAGAACAAAUGUGUAAGUAACUAUGCACGUCUUGACGGUACCUAAUCAGAAAGCCACCGCUAACUACGUG
rnacentral:rRNA from 1 species